CCACAGGGGCCUCCUGUCAGGAGGGACCUUUAGCCAGAUGGGGCCCAUCCAGCUGGUGGGCCCCGGACAUAGGAGUGACCAUCUCCAGAGACGGUGACAGCGGUAGGGGGAGCUGCCCCUGUGGACCCCACAAAUGCUGGGUCCUAAGAAGGGCCCCGAGCAAGGCCUGCGGUUCGGGAGACCCGAGCGGCGGGCUGGCACUCAGGCCCCUGUGCCCUGCAGGUUCUGCGGGGAGUGCCUCCAGCCCUGCCUGCAGGUGCCAUCCCCGCUGUGCCCACUCUGCCGCCUGCCCUUCGACCCCAAGAAGGUGGACAAGGCCACCCACGUGGAGAAGCAGCUCUCGUCCUACAAAGCGCCCUGUCGAGGCUGCAACAAAAAGCCUUCCCCUGCCAGCUGAUACCGGGGACGGCGCUGGGGGCUCCAAGGUCACAAGGGCCACGGGCACAGUCAAGGACAUCUCAGGGCCGAGCACCCUCCAGCUGCCAGGAGGGCCAGAGCCGGGCUGAUGGGCACUGCCACACCCACAUCAGAGCAGCCUAAGGGCCUGCAGCUUGUCAUGGGCCU
rnacentral:sRNA from 1 species